GGGGUGAUGGCGCAGCUGGGAGCGCGUUAGACUGAAGAACCAACUUCAGUUUCUACUUCUACGGAAGUAGUGUUAUCUAAAGGUCACCGGUUCGAUCCCGGUUCAUCCCA
rnacentral:tRNA from 1 species